AUUGAACGCUGGCGGCAGGCUUAACACAUGCAAGUCGAACGAGUGGCGGACGGGUGAGUAAUGCUUGGGAAUCUAGCUUAUGGAGGGGGAUAACUACGGGAAACUGUAGCUAAACCCCGCUGCCAUAGGAUGAGCCAAAUUGGGAUUAGGUGGUUGGUGAGGUAAAGGCUCACCAAGCCGACGAUCUCUAGCUGGUCUGAGGGGAGGACCAGCCACCCUGGGACUGAGACACGGCCCAGACUCCUACGGGAGGCAGCAGUGGGGAAUAUUGCGCAAUGGGGGCAACCUUGACGCAGCCAUGCCGCGUGAAUGAAGAAGGCCUUCGGGUUGUAAAGUACUUUCAGCGAGGAGGCGUUACUCGCAUAAGAAGCACCGGCUAACUCCGUGCCAGCCGCCGCGGUAAUAC
rnacentral:rRNA from 1 species